GAUGAACGCUAGCGGCAGGCUUAACACAUGCAAGUCGAGGGGUAUAGUUCUUCGGAACUAGAGACCGGCGCACGGGUGCGUAACGCGUAUGCAAUCUACCUUUUGCAGAGGGAUAGCCCAGAGAAAAUUGGAUUAAUACAUCAUAGUAUGUGAGAAUGGCAUCAUUUUUACAUUAAAGUCACAACGGCAAAAGAUGAGCAUGCGUCCCAUUAGCUAGUUGGUAAGGUAACGGCUUACCAAGGCAACGAUGGGUAGGGGUCCUGAUAGGGAGAUCCCCCACACUGGUACUGAGACACGGACCAGACUCCUACGGGAGGCAGCAGUGAGGAAUAUUGGACAAUGGGCGCAAGCCUGAUCCAGCCAUGCCGCGUGCGGGAUGACGGUCCUAUGGAUUGUAAACUGCUUUUGUACAGGAAGAAACACUGGUUCGUGAACCAGCUUGACGGUACUGUAAGAAUAAGGAUAGGCUAACUCCGUGCCAGCAGCCGCAGUAACAC
rnacentral:rRNA from 1 species